rnacentral:rRNA from 1 species
AUUGAACGCUGGCGGCAGGCUUAAUACAUGCAAGUCGAGGGGCAGCGCAGUGUAGCAAUACAUGGGCGGCGACCGGCAAACGGGUGCGGAACACGUACGCAACUUACCCUUAACUGAUGAAUAGCCCUCCGAAAGGAGGAUUAAUACAUCGUAACAUUAUGAGGUGGCAUCAUUUUAUAAUUAUAGCUCCGGCGGUUAAGGAUGGGCGUGCGGCUGGUUAGGUAGUUGGCGGGGUAACGGCCCACCAAGCCUGCGAUCAGUAACUGGUGUGAGAGCACGACCAGUCGAACGGGCACUGGGACACGGGCCCGACUCCUACGGGAGGCAGCAGUAAGGAAUAUUGGUCAAUGGACGCAAGUCUGAACCAGCCAUGCCGCGUGAAGGAUGAAGGUCCUCUGGAUUGUAAACUUCUUUUAUAUGGGACGAAACCCGGGUAUUCUUAUCCGAUUGACGGUACCAUAGGAAUAAGCACCGGCUAACUCCGUGCCAGCCGCCGCAGUAACAC